rnacentral:rRNA from 1 species
GACGAGGAGCUUGCUCCUCUGACGUUAGCGGCGGACGGGUGAGUAACACGUGGAUAACCUACCUAUAAGACUGGGAUAACUUCGGGAAACCGGAGCUAAUACCGGAUAAUAUAUUGAACCGCAUGGUUCAAUAGUGAAAGACGGUUUUGCUGUCACUUAUAGAUGGAUCCGCGCCGCAUUAGCUAGUUGGUAAGGUAACGGCUUACCAAGGCGACGAUGCGUAGCCGACCUGAGAGGGUGAUCGGCCACACUGGAACUGAGACACGGUCCAGACUCCUACGGGAGGCAGCAGUAGGGAAUCUUCCGCAAUGGGCGAAAGCCUGACGGAGCAACGCCGCGUGAGUGAUGAAGGUCUUCGGAUCGUAAAACUCUGUUAUUAGGGAAGAACAAAUGUGUAAGUAACUAUGCACGUCUUGACGGUACCUAAUCAGAAAGCCACGGCUAACUACGUGCCAGCAGCCGCGGUAAUACGUAGGUGGCAAGCGUUAUCCGGAAUUAUUGGGCGUAAAGCGCGCGUAGGCGGUUUUUUAAGUCUGAUGUGAAAGCCCACGGCUCAACCGUGGAGGGUCAUUGGAAACUGGAAAACUUGAGUGCAGAAGAGGAAAGUGGAAUUCCAUGUGUAGCGGUGAAAUGCGCAGAGAUAUGGAGGAACACCAGUGGCGAAGGCGACUUUCUGGUCUGUAACUGACGCUGAUGUGCGAAAGCGUGGGGAUCAAACAGGAUUAGAUACCUGGUAGCCCACGCCGUAAACGAUGAGUGCUAAGUGUUAGGGGGUUUCCGCCCCUUAGUGCUGCAGCUAACGCAUUAAGCACUCCGCCUGGGAAGUACGACCGCAAGUUG